CGCUAGCUACAGGCUUAACACAUGCAAGUCGAGGGGCAUCAGGAAGAAAGCUUGCUUUCUUUGCUGGCGACCGGCGCACGGGUGAGUAACACGUAUCCAACCUGCCCUUUACUCGGGGAUAGCCUUUCGAAAGAAAGAUUAAUGCCCGAUAGCAUAAUGAUUCCGCAUGGUUUCAUUAUUAAAGGAUUCCGGUAAAGGAUGGGGAUGCGUUCCAUUAGGUUGUUGGUGAGGUAACGACCCACCAAGCCUUCGAUGGAUAGGGGUUCUGAGAGGAAGGUCCCCCACAUUGGAACUGAGACACGGUCCAAACUCCUACGGGAGGCAGCAGUGAGGAAUAUUGGUCAAUGGGCGCUAGCCUGAACCAGCCAAGUAGCGUGAAGGAUGAAGGCUCUAUGGGUCGUAAACUUCUUUUAUAUAAGAAUAAAGUGCAGUAUGUAUACUGUUUUGUAUGUAUUAUAUGAAUAAGGAUCGGCUAACUCCGUGCCAGCAGCCGCGGUAAUACGGAGGAUCCGAGCGUUAUCCGGAUUUAUUGGGUUUAAAGGGAGCGUAGGUGGACUGGUAAGUCAGUUGUGAAAGUUUGCGGCUCAACCGUAAAAUUGCAGUUGAUACUGUCAGUCUUGAGUACAGUAGAGGUGGGCGGAAUUCGUGGUGUAGCGGUGAAAUGCUUAGAUAUCACGAAGAACUCCGAUUGCGAAGGCAGCUCACUGGACUGCAACUGACACUGAUGCUCGAAAGUGUGGGUAUCAAACAGGAUUAGAUACCCUGGUAGUCCACACAGUAAACGAUGAAUACUCGCUGUUUGCGAUAUACAGUAAGCGGCCAAGCGAAAGCAUUAAGUAUUCCACCUGGGGAGUACGCCGGCAACGGUGAAACUCAAAGGAAUUGACGGGGGCCCGCACAAGCGGAGGAACAUGUGGUUUAAUUCGAUGAUACGCGAGGAACCUUACCCGGGCUUAAAUUGCAGUGGAAUGAUGUGGAAACAUGUCAGUGAGCAAUCACCGCUGUGAAGGUGCUGCAUGGUUGUCGUCAGCUCGUGCCGUGAGGUGUCGGCUUAAGUGCCAUAACGAGCGCAACCCUUAUCUUUAGUUACUAACAGGUUAUGCUGAGGACUCUAGAGAGACUGCCGUCGUAAGAUGUGAGGAAGGUGGGGAUGACGUCAAAUCAGCACGGCCCUUACGUCCGGGGCUACACACGUGUUACAAUGGGGGGUACAGAAGGCAGCUAGCGGGUGACCGUAUGCUAAUCCCAAAAUCCUCUCUCAGUUCGGAUCGAAGUCUGCAACCCGACUUCGUGAAGCUGGAUUCGCUAGUAAUCGCGCAUCAGCCACGGCGCGGUGAAUACGUUCCCGGGCCUUGUACACACCGCCCGUCAAGCCAUGGGAGCCGGGGGUACCUGAAGUACGUAACCGCAAGGAUCGUCCUAGGGUAAAACUGGUGACUGGGGCU
rnacentral:rRNA from 1 species